rnacentral:tRNA from 1 species
GGAUAGCCUUGUGGUCAAGGCGUUCGCCUGUCUCCUUAGAGAUCCCGGGUUCGAUACCCACUGCCCG